rnacentral:rRNA from 1 species
GAUGAACGCUGGCGGCGUGCUCAACACAUGCAAGUCGAACGGUGAACGAGGGAGCUUGCUCCCUCCGGAUCAGUGGCGAACGGGUGAGUAACACGUGAGCAAUCUGCCCUGGACUCUGGGAUAAGCGUUGGAAACGACGUCUAAUACCGGAUACGAGGCGUGGGGGCAUCCCCAACGCCUGGAAAGAACUUCGGUCCAGGAUGAGCUCGCGGCCUAUCAGCUAGUUGGUGAGGUGACGGCUCACCAAGGCGACGACGGGUAGCCCGCCUGAGAGGGUGACCGGCCACACUGGGACUGGGACACGGCCCAGACUCUUACGGGAGGCAGCAGUGGGGAAUAUUGCACAAUGGGCGCAAGCCUGAUGCAGCAACGCCGCGUGAGGGACGACGGCCUUCGGGUUGUAAACCUCUUUUAGCAGGGAAGAAGCGAAAGUGACGGUACCUGCAGAAAAAGCACCGGCUAACUACGUGCCAGCCGCCGCAGUAACAC